GCCGGAGUGGUGGAACUAGGCAGACACGCGAGGUUUAGGACCUCGUGCCUUCGGGUGUGCGAGUUCGAUUCUCGCCUCCGGCACCA
rnacentral:tRNA from 1 species